AGCGAACGCUGGCGGCAUGCCUAACACAUGCAAGUCGCACGGUCGGGGGUGACCUUCGGCAGUGGCGGACGGGUGGAGUAACGCGUAGGGAGUCUAUCCUUGGAUGGGGGACGAACCGCGGGAAACCGACGGCGUAAUAACCGCAUGAUGCCUGAGGGCCAAAGCUCGCGAGAGCGUCUGGGGAGGAGCCUGCGUCCGAUUAGCUUGUUGGUGGGGUAACGGCCCACCAAGGCGUCGAUCGGUA
rnacentral:rRNA from 1 species